rnacentral:misc_RNA from 1 species
GCAAACUUGGUCAUUUAGAGGAAGUAAAAGUCGUAACAAGGUUUCCGUAGGUGAACCUGCGGAAGGAUCAUUACAGUGCCGUCGGGACGCCACGCCUCGGCGUGGGCGUCUCGCACCUGGCCACCCGUGUUUACUUGACCUAUUGUUGCUUUGGCGGGCCCGCCAGGUGUUGGUUACGCGUAACCACGAUCUCCUGGCCGCCGGGGGGCAGACGUGCCAAACGUGCCCCUGGUCCGUGCCCGCCGAAGGACCCCUCGAACGCAUGUGUAGAAAGUGACGUCUGAGUGGAUCAGUGAAUCAGUUAAAACUUUCAACAACGGAUCUCUUGGUUCCGGCAUCGAUGAAGAACGCAGC